UUUUUUUUUUUUUUUUUUUUUUUACAGAUUUGUUGAAAGCAGCAAGUCCAAAGAUCAAAAAGUUCAUCAAACCCCAGGCAGGGAGUUCCCGUCAUGGCACAGUUUAGGAACCAUGAGGUUGCGGGUUCGGUCCCUGCCCUUGCUCAGUGGGUUAACGAUCCGGCGUUGCCGUGAGCUGUGGUGUAGGUUGCAGAUGCUGCUUGGAUCCCGCGUUGCUGUGGCUCUGGCAUAGGCUGGUGGCUAUGACUCCGAUUCAACCCCUAGCCUGGGAACCUCCAUAUGCCGCAGGAGCGGCCCAAGAAAUAGCCCCCCAAAAAAAAAAAAAAAAAAAAACCCAGGCAGGAUAAACAUAAACAACCAACUUGGGUAUAUCAUAAUGAUACUGACAGCCGAAGAUGAACUGAAGAAUCUUUGGAACAGCCAGAGGAGGUUGGAGAAAAAGACACAUUUCAUUCGGGUGAACAACAAGAGGAACGAAUGCAGGAGUUCCCAUCAUGGCUCAGUGGAAACGAAUCUGACUAGGAUCCAUGAGCACACGGGUUCGAUCCCUGGCCUCGCUCAGUGGGUUAAGGAUCCAGUAUUGUGACUGCUGUGGUGCUGGUUCAAUCCCUGGCCUGGGAACUUCUGAAUGCCGUGGGAGGAAAAGGAUGGUAUUGCAGAAAAUACAGACCUACGGAGGAAUGAAGACUGCCAAACAUGGACAGGAAAUAGAACCUUUGCCUAGAUCCAGGCAGCGGGAACCUUGUAGGCCUCACGAUGGUGUUUGUAAAGAUGAACCUUGUGCAUGACGAGCAGUCACCUGGAUUCGCCCUCAGACGGCACGGGUCAGCCAGCUGCCCGGGACCCGCCGCAGCGAACCGCUUCCGCAGAGCGCGUUACCCGUGUCGGAACAUGAACAGUGGUUGGGAAACAUCAUUCCGGAGGGAGAUGCUGUGUGGCCAGAGGACACGGGAUCAGUAAAGCUGUUGAAAAGGUGGCG
rnacentral:lncRNA from 1 species